rnacentral:lncRNA from 1 species
CCUUACUUUUAAUACAUAUUGCAGAUUUAUCAUAGUAUUGCUAUGUACUGCUAUAAAUGCUAAUAAAUAAAAACGUAUCGCUAGAAUCAGUAAUUAUUUAUUAAAAGAUACCCAUCCAAGUAAUUAUUUCUUACUUUAUUGUAUUUAUUUGAAAUUACCCUUAAAACAAAUUUCAUCUUCACUUUGUUGUCGGAUCUUCAUAUCCCUUUUUAGAAAACAAGGUUUCCAUCUCAUCC